rnacentral:lncRNA from 1 species
CGAUCUCGAUGCUGCGUCACACUGGGCAGCCGGGCCGCCACUGUUGGGCAACGGGGCCGCCCCUGCGCUGGCCAGCUCCGGAGCCGAAGCGGAGGAAUCCGAGCUCAGCGUGUGGACGUCCGGUGACGCAGCUGGAUCGCAUCUGUGGGUGACCGGAGCCCUGUUCAGAAAAGAACUUUCACCAUUUGCGUUCUUGAUGCUGCGUCACACUGGGCAGCCGGGCCGCCACUGUUGGGCAACUCGGCCGCCCCUGCGCUGGCCAGCUCCGGAGCCGAAGCGGAGGAAUCCGAGCUCAGCGUGUGGACGUCCGGUGACGCAGCUGGAUCGCAUCUGUGGGUGACCGGAGCCCUGUUCAGAAAAGAACUUUCACCAUCUUUGCUUUCUAGGUCCCUCCCUGGAGGGCGGAUUAAAGGGUGCCUGGACAAAUCGCAAAAGAACAAAAGCUCUCCAGGGAUGCUGAUAUUAAAUAGUUCUAAUGCUGAGUUGCAAGGAAUAACAAGAUCAUGCAGGGCCUGAGAUGUAGCUCAGCCAAGCAGCGCUGGCCUGGCAAGCGCGAGGUCCCGAGUUCGACUUUUGGUACCAAAAAAUAAAAAAAAAGAUCUUAGAGUAUGGCCUCAAGGUGUGAAUACCGAGUGGUUUUUCUGGUGUAAAAACUGAAAGUGUAAGUAAGGACCAAAAUGUAAAAUAAAUAUUGUGAAAUAGGAAGAAAAUGUUCAAAGGGGAAGGAGAAGAGGGGGAGAAAAAAUUGCAAUAAAGAAGGAAAAAACGGAAGCAAAGUUUUUCGUAAAUAAGGAGGAAUGGAGUGGUUAAAAGGAGGGAAGGAGGGGAGGAAGGGAGAAAAAUAAGCACCAAGAUAUAUCAUGUACAGGUACAAAUUUCCAGUGAUGAAUGUGAUCAUAAUGUGUAGCUAAAAUGUUCCAAUAAACAAUAAGAAAACAAAGAUCAUGGUAGAUCUACAUUUCUGAAGUCCCUAAAUUUCCACAAACUAAGUGCCAACCUUUAACAUUUAGCUUUAUAUUAAUGUUAUAAAAUAAUAGGACUUUUCCGGACCUUUAUUUUUGUUACCAGUUUGAUAAAUAAAAAAUUAGAAUUACAGAAAUACUAACCAUACAGAUAAAUCAUCUUAUAAUCAGAAGUAUUCAGUUAAUAUCCUCAAUUAAAACGACAUUAUGUCAUCUUAAAAAAGUUAUUGUAGAAGUCUAUUUUACGUAUUUUCAGAAAGUGUAUGUCAUACCUUUUAAAAAUAUUACCUGUUCCUUUGAUAUGCUUGUCUACAUGUAAGGGCUCUAAUUUUAAACUUUUUUCAGAAACAUAUCUUGCCAAAUUUACAAAAUGCUGAACCUUGGAAUGUUAUGUUUCAGGUAAAGUAAUAACAUUGCUUUGAAAAAUUUUAGAAUGACUGUUAAGAAUAUGGAGA